CUGGUCUUGACAUCCUCGGAAUGCCUCAGAGAUGAGGCGGUGCCCGCAAGGGAGCCGAGAGACAGGUGCUGCAUGGCUGUCGUCAGCUCGUGUCGUGAGAUGUUGGGUUAAGUCCCGCAACGAGCGCAACCCUCGCCUUUAGUUGCCACGCAAGUGGAUCUCUAGAGGGACUGCCGGUGUUAAACCGGAGGAAGGUGGGGAUGACGUCAAGUCCUCAUAGCCUUUAUGACCAGGGCUACACACGUGCUACAAUGGCCGGUACAGAGCGUUGCCAACCCGCGAGGGGGAGCUAAUCGCAUAAAACCGGUCUCAGUUCAGAUUGGAGUCUGCAACUCGACUCCAUGAAGGCGGAAUCGCUAGUAAUCGCAGAUCAGAAUGCUGCGGUGAAUACGUUCCC
rnacentral:rRNA from 1 species